CGGAAUUGGCCCCUCCCUUCGUGUGUUCAGAGGCCAACUGUCAUUCUUGCUUCUUGCCUCAUUAUUGCCUCAGGAUGUUGUUUUAGUUUCUCUCAGAGUGUAUGUUAUUGUGUUACAGUUUUUCUUUAUUAUUAAAGCUUUGCUUGACAUAUACGUGAGCCGCUUACUUUGCUGAAAGAAAAGAAACUCUGCUGAAGAAUGGUGGCAUAUCCUAAACUGCGUGACUGAGGGGAUAUUCCCAGUCUGACAGGAGGAUUGCAUUUUUUAAUCCCCUCCCCCACCGCCCACAACACUAAGGGCUGCAGGCUUCUCAUCCUUUAAGGCCUUCUGUGUCAAGGUACCCUACAUUGAUCACGAAAGGCAAGAGAAAACAUAGUGGAAGUUCAGCUCAGUAGCAGAGUAGCUGAAGUAACAGAAUCUCCAACUUUCUUCCAAAAUACUUCAGUUUGCUCACAUUAAGGGCUUGACAGGAUUUUGGAGGGGCUUAACAAGUGACACCAGAAAUAUCAGCAAUCAGAGUGUGGGGAGUAAAAACCCAAGUCAAUAGCAGGUCAUAAUCCUGUCAGCCAUUUUCAGCUAAUUUUACUGUUUAAUGAAAACUUUUACAGCUAGAAUGAUGGUUCUUUGUUUCUUUAGCUAUUGAGAGAGUAACUGUUGACAACAUGGUGACCGUGUUGAAAUCUAGGAAUCCCUGCUAGAACUUAGGGUUGCAAAUGAUGGUGUUGGGGUUGUUGUUAUUGUUUGUUUUUGGCCCCAGUAGGAUCAUUAGGCUUAGUUCAGUGCUAGCCAAUAGGCAAUUUAAAUUUACUAUGUGCAACUUUAAAUGGGUCACUGUAUACAAAUGAAUAAUAACCACCGUUUUCUUUGGAAGACUAGAAAUAUAUUUGCAUAAUGCCAUUUGGUGAGAAUUUGUUGGCACAGGAAGCUGAAUACUUGGAUAUGCAUUGAAGGCAAGGCCAUUAGGCACAUGAUAGAAGUCUAAUAUUGUGACAAAGAGUCGUUACAUGUUACAUUGCUUAUUAAAUUUUUAGCAGUUCUUAGGAUUUGGUAACACAAUUUUUGUGUUUCUUUCAGAAGACUCACUAUCCACAUGAAUGUUGGGAGAGAUAGUUACCCUAUGAAGAUUCUUCCAAAGCAACCAGCUGAACUGCUCCUCUGACUUCUGGACCACAUGGCCUUAGAUAUGCAUACCAAAAGACAUUAUUCUCAUUUGUGGAAAGAUAAACCCAUUGACCCUGAAAAUAGAUCUCUUACUUCUGGCCCACAUUCAUAAUCCAAUUAUUCUUGAUCAGCGAAAUGUAAGUCCAUAAUUAAUCUGCCACCUGAGAGGGUUUGUUAUUUUCCUUAAAUUGCCUAUUAAUUUAUUAAAUUGUCCCGAUUAAGUAAUGUAUUUGACAG